ensembl:lncRNA
AGGCCAGGAGAGAGGAGGUGGAGGAGAGAGAGAGGCCAGUGAAGAAGAGAGGAGGUGGAGGAGAGAGAGAGAGAGAGGCCAGUGAAGAAGAGAGGAGGUGGAGGAGAGAGAGAGAGAGAGGCCAGCGAAGAAGAGAGGAGGUGGAGGAGAGAGAGAGGCCAGUGAAGAAGAGAGGAGGUGGAGGAGAGAGAGAGAGAGAGGCCAGUGAAGAAGAGAGGAGGUGGAGGAGAGAGAGAGAGAGAGGCCAGCGAGGAAGAGAGGAGGUGGAGGAGAGAGAGAGAGGCCAGCGAGGAAGAGAGGUGGUGGAGGAGAGAGAGAGAGGCCAGCGAGGAAGAGAGGAGGUGGAGGAGAGAGAGAGAGGCCAGUGAAGAAGAGAGGAGGUGGAGGAGAGAGAGAGAGAGGGCGGCAGA